CCUACGGGUGGCUGCAGUGGGGAAUCUUGCGCAAUGGGCGAAAGCCUGACGCAGCGACGCCGCGUGGGUGAUGAAGGCCUUCGGGUUGUAAAGCCCUGUGGGGAGGGACGAAUAACACAUACCUAAUACGUAUGUAGAUGACGGUACCUCCUUAGCAAGCACCGGCUAACUCUGUGCCAGCAGCCGCGGUAAGACAGAGGGUGCAAACGUUGUUCGGAAUUACUGGGCGUAAAGCGCGUGUAGGCGGCGUGAAAGCCCGGGGCUCAACCCCGGAAGUGCAUUCGAUACUGCCAAGCUGGAGUCCCGGAGAGGAUGGUGGAACUCUCGGUGUAGAGGUGAAAUUCGUAGAUAUCGAGAAGAACAUCGGUGGCGAAGGCGGCCAUCUGGACGGUGACUGACGCUGAGACGCGAAAGCGUGGGGAGCAAACAGGAUUAGAUACCCUAGUAGUC
rnacentral:rRNA from 1 species